UAAAAAAACAAACCCUAGUUUCCGUGUCUAACGUUUGACCGUCUGUCUUAUUUAAAAAAACUAUAAAAAAAUAUUAAAAAGAUAAGUCACGUAUAAAGUAUUAAUCAUGUUUUAUCAUCUAACAACAAUGAAAAUACUAAUUAUAAAAAAUUUCAUAUAAAACGGACAGUCAAACGUUGGCACGGAAACCCAGGGUUUGUCUUUUU
rnacentral:pre_miRNA from 1 species